AUCAAUUCAGGGUUAUUUUGUGUCUUUAUUAAAAAACGUUAGUAGAAAAAUGCUAAAAAAUUUCUUAGUAGAAAUCGAACCCUUAACCUUUUACUUACAAUUCUUAUUAGAUUUACCACUAAGCCAUAUGAAUUAAUUUGUUAUACUUUUGGAACCAACAUAUAAUCAACAUGAGUUAAGUUAAAAGAAGAAAGGGGAAGUGUUUAUUUCUUUUUUCUUUUUUAUAAUAAGAGAGUAAAAUUCAUGUACAAAUAAAAGGAGAGAUUCAAUGAAAUUCUUUAUUUCAACGUCAUAAGUGCAUUAUACCAAAUAAGACAACAAAUGUAUGGUUUUUUUUUUACAAUAUAGAGGUAUAUGGUGUUGUUUCCAUUUAUUUAUGAUAUUUUAUUUGAGUUCAACCCUUUCUUUAGUGUAAUUUAAUCAUUUAUUGUUUAUGUUUCGUUAUUUUAGAUUCACUCAACUUGAUUUAUGGACUUCAAUCCAAUAUUUAAUUAAGUUAAUUUUCAAUUUGUAGUUCAACUCAAUAAAUUUAAUUAAUUUAAUACAAGAAUAUGGUGGGAGAAAAACUGGAAAAACUCCCGUAAAAAAAUGGUGAGAC
rnacentral:lncRNA from 1 species